GCAUUUCUGAGGUGUCCCAUAAUAGGACGAAACGACCGUCCAGUGC
rfam:Schistosoma rodhaini strain Burundi genome assembly, scaffold: SROB_scaffold0001331